GUCCUGGUAGUUUAAUGGCAGAACGGCGCCGUGCGGGGUAUAAUUCUUCCUCAGCUCUGUGCUGCCAGUCCGACCGGUUCACAGCCGGGAGGAUACCACUAGAGGAGGUUCGUCGGAGCGCAGAUCUAGGUUCGAGUCCUAGCCAGGAUG